AGCGGCUGGUGGGCAGCUCACGGUUGCUUUCCCUUGGAAGGUGAACUGAGGAAGGUCCGCCCACGCAGAGCCCUGACUGCAUUAACUGUGCGGAUGGGAGAACAGAAACGAGACCCUGCCCAUUAUAUGGGAUGAGGCAACGACUUCAAUGGGAUAAGGGAUGAAACGGCUUCCUGUGCAGGGCAGUGAGCGUGCAAGCCUUUAUGGCGCUUAGACAAAUGCUGCUAAGGCGAGCAUAUCCAUUAGGAUGUGCGCUGAACAAAAGGCGGCCUAUGGCCAGCCGCU
rnacentral:RNase_P_RNA from 1 species